rnacentral:lncRNA from 1 species
UUUUAAGGUUGUUAUAUUAUUUAAGAAUUUAAGAGAAGCUGAUGGAAAUAAUGACAUUUUUUAUUUAUUGUUAAACACAGAUUAAAUAUGAAUAUUAAAAGUUUCCUGAAACCUAAUUUGGUGUGACCCCCACCAGAGGCCACAACAAAUCCCAGACUAAUUUCCAAAGAUCACUGGACCUGUUCUUGGAUUUUACUAUGGCCAUACAAUCAGCUCCUCCAUACCACUGUGAGUGCCUGUGUGUGUGGCUGCAGCCGGAGGCCUGCAGAUUGGAAUGUUGAUGAAGGGAAGCAGAAGUGCUGAGGAAUGAAUCUGUGUUCAAGUAAAGCAAUAAUCCAUCUGUGUGUCCACAGCUCUUAUAUAAAAUAAAGCUACCUUUGAU